GCGAGAUCAAUCGCCGUCAACCACGGACAAUACAACGCCAUCUCCUUUGUCAAUAGAAUUGAUGCUGUCAGGUAAAAUUCAAAAGACCCGGACAGCACUGCCCAAUUUCACAUCUUCUUGUCUUCAGCUCGGCCCGGAGAGGUAAAGGCUCCAUGCGUCUUAUCGCUCGACAUGGACCGGCAUCCGAUCAAGUUUCGGAACUGUUUCCGUGGGGUACACGGCGCUAUCCACGGCUCACGGACAGCGAUAUCAACGGCGUAUGGGUCGUUCUUAAGACCACUUGGCUACCGUUCUAGCCCUGCCCCAACCUCCCACGGUCGCUAUUGCGUGAUGGUUUGUGGUGGGGCCACGUCGGUGUUCUUAACACCCAUUCCUUGUUCAACUCCCCCAACUGCCCAAUAUUCCCCACGCCAUGGCAUCGCGACAUGGGACUGGACAAGACUGAAAAAUUGAAAACAAGAGACCCUACUCUCAUCCCCAAAAUACUUAUCUCGACUCUUCCCAGCCAGGCUUCUUUCCUUUCUGCCCUCAGCAAUCCACGGUAGUCGGCUCCUUUUAGUCUGGUAGUCAAGUGGAACUUGAUUUCCACUGCCGGCGUGGUACGGCCUACGGGCGGACACGCGAUGGGAGACACUUACACGCGGAACCUACAGUUUGUUGUUGUUUAAGAGGCUCCAUUGUCAUAUGCCACUGAUGUGUUUGCUAACAUGUCAUGGGCUUCAUUGAGUACUGUUUCCAAUCUUUCGUCUGUUUGAAGCAGAUGGUCAAGCAGUCGAAUGUUGCACUAGAACCCUCAGCAAACUGCCACGUGGGGAAGCUUUCCAACAUCUCGGUAACUCGUCCCUGAAGUGUGGUGGAUACAUUAGUCCCAAGAGUCGAUCGGAACGCCGUUUGGGCGGGUAACGUUCCGUACCAUAGACAGACAUGCAAACAAUUGGCGUUUCAAGACAUGCUUGCAGUCUG